GAUAACUGUGUUAAUUGUUCUAGAAAAAUAAAUAAAAGACAUUAAAAGGGGAAAUGCAAAAAAGAGAUAAAGAGCCUCAGCUUGAUUCCCCAGUCACAAUGUCUGGCAGCUAACUCUGCCCAACACAAUGCACAAACCACGCAUCACUGGAGAAGAGCAGACAAAUGUCAGUCAGGCAUGUUCAUACGGUGGAGAGAAUGUGAUAACAUUAACACAUUCACACAAUAUGACCUGCCAAUUAAAACCCACUUUUCCUUUCAAACUCCUGCAUCAGAUGGCAUUGUAUGAAUGGGAGCACCACUGUUUAACAGUUCUUCACUCAGACUGUCCUGGUUGCCCACAAAACGUUCUUUGAAACAACAGAAUAAAGGGGCUCCAUAUAUAAGCCAAUAUUUCUUUGGCUGUCUGCCAAAUAAUGAGCUGCUGUUUUUUUAAGCACUGAAUAAUAUUCCAUUAUCUGGAUGUACCACAGUAUACUUAUCCAUUCACUGACUGAAGGACAUUUUGGUUGCUUCCAAGUUUUCGUAAUUAUGAAUAAAGCUGCUAUAAACAUAUGCAUGCAGUUUUCUGAGUGGACAUAAGUUUUCAGAUCCUUUGGGUAAGUACCAAGGAGGACAACUGCUGGAUCGUAUGGUAAGAGUACGUUUAAUUUCAUAAAAAAUGGCCAAACUGUCUUCCAGAGUGUACCAUUUUGCAUUCCCACCAGUAUUCCUAUUGCUCCACCUCCUUGCUAACAUUUGGUAUUGUCAGUGUUGCAGAUUUCGGCCAUUCUAAUAGGUGUGUAGUGGUAUCUCAUUGUUUUAAUUUACAUAUCCCUGAUGACAAAUGAUGUGCAGCAUCUUUUCAUAUGCUUAUUUUAUACCUGUAUGUCUUCUUUGGUGAGGUGUCUGUUAAAGUCUUUAGCCCAUUUUUCAAAUGGGCUAUUUGUUCUCAUACUGUUGAGUUUUAAGAAUUCUUCCUAAUUUGGGGUAACAGUCUCACAUCAGAUAUGUCUUUUGGAAAUAUUUCUCCCAGUUUGUGGCUUGUCUUCUAAUUGUCUUGAUAUUGUCUUCCAGAGAGCAGAAGUUUUUAAUUUUACUGAAGUCCAGCUUAUCGAUUAUAUUUUUCAUGGAUGAUGGCUUGAUGUUAUAUCUAAAAAGGCACCACCACAUCAAGGUCAUCAAAAUUUUCUCCCAUGUUGUUUCACAGGAUUUUAUAGUUUUGCAUUUUACGUUUGGGUCUAUGAUCCAUCUGAGUAAUUUUUGUGACAUGUGUAAGGACUGGGCCUAGAUUCAUUCUUUUUAUGUGGACAUCCACUUGUUCCAGCACUAUUUGUUGAAAAAGCUAUCUUUGCUCUAUUGUAUUGCCUUUGCUCCUUCGUCAAAGAUAAGUUGACUAUAUUUAUGUGGGUCUAUUUCUGGGCUUUCUAUUCUGUUCCAUUGUUCAAUUUAUCUAUUCUUUUGCCAGUAACGCACUGUCUUGAUUUCUCUGUGACUAUGAUGAAUCAAGAAAAACAAAACCAAACCAAACAAAAAACUCCAUAAUAUUGUCUGAAUUCAG
rnacentral:lncRNA from 1 species